rnacentral:rRNA from 1 species
UACGAAGGGGGCGAGCGUUGUUCGGAUUUACUGGGCGUAAAGCGUGCGCAGGCGGUUUUGUAAGUUUGUCGUGAAAUCCCCGGGCUCAACCUGGGAAUGGCGAUGAAGACUGCAAGGCUAGAAUCUGGCAGAGGGGGGUAGAAUUCCACGUGUAGCAGUGAAAUGCGUAGAGAUGUGGAGGAACACCGAUGGCGAAGGCAGCCCCCUGGGUCAAGAUUGACGCUCAUGCACGAAAGGCGUGGGGAGCAAACGAGG